rnacentral:rRNA from 1 species
UGAGGAAUAUUGGUCAAUGGGCGAGAGCCUGAACCAGCCAAGUAGCGUGCGGGAUGAAGGCCCUUGUGGUCGUAAACCGCUUUUAUCAGUGAAUAAAGUGCAUCACGUGUGGUGUCAUUGCAGGUAGCUGAAGAAAAAGGACCGGCUAAUUCCGUGCCAGCAGCCGCGGUAAUACGGAAGGUCCGGGCGUUAUCCGGAAUUAUUGGGUUUAAAGGGAGCGCAGGCGGGAGUGUAAGUCAGCUGUUAAAUAUCAGGGCCCAACUCUGUUAUGCAGUUGAAACUAUAUUUCUUGAGUACGCACAGGGAUGGCGGAAUUCAGGGUGUAGCGGUGAAAUGCUUAGAUAUCCUGAAGAACUCCGAUCGCGAAGGCAGCCAUCCGGAGCGUAACUGACGCUGAGGCUCGAAGGUGCGGGUAUCAAACAGGAUUAGAUACCCUGGUAGUCCGCACGGUAAACGAUGAAUACUCGCAGUUCGGUUAUUAUGGUCGAGCUGUCCAGCGAAAGCGUUAAGUAUUCCACCUGGGGAGUACGCCGGCNACGGU